GCUGUUCGUUGCUCUUGUGAAGCAGCUGUCAUGGUCCGCUGCCCGGUGUCGGAGGAGCUGAUGGGAUGCCCACGCUCACGGGUGUGGCUGUCAACUCCACACCUGCAUCCCAUCCCAGGCAAUCUUCAAGUGGACUAUUUAAUCCAGCUCAACCAGCUGCUCCACGCCAGUCCGUUAGUCGCCUCUCAGCGGUAACCGCUCGGCGUGUUUGGAGCCAUCUCCUGCCUGUCUUCCUGCCCGCCUGGAGUUUUGGAUAACUACCGGCACUCGUCUCCUCUAUUUCACCUGGAGCUCCACCGCGGACCCUCACCCCUCCCUCUGGUUCCCACAGCCCCGUCUAGACCCCUCCCACAGUCCCGAUUACGGCCUCCCCGAGUUAUUUCCCGGUCCCUUGGUUUUCUAGUUACCUGGCGUGUUUUCCCUUUGACCCUUCCGGGACACCCUUAGUUAAAAUAAAGUUUAUUCUGCGUGCACCUUGGCGUAUUGUCUCUGCUUCUGGGUCCAGCUUGUGUACUGAGCUACGGUUCAUGACAGCAGCACGUUGAAAUGUUGGUCUGUUCUGACACAAGGUCUGCUCUCAUUCAAAAUGGUU